GCUUUAAUAAUUUAAUUAAAAUAUUGGCCUUGUAAACCAAAAAUAAGAGUCUCUUUUAAAGCU
rnacentral:tRNA from 1 species